UCUCACCAUUUUCUCUCUCUCUCUCUCUCUCUCUCUCUGCAGAUGACUACUUGCUUCCACUAGUAGAGGAAAUCCACCCUUCUAAUGCCAACAAAAUCACUUGGAUGCUUGUGGAAAGAGAAAACAAUACUGAGAUCAUGAACGUGAUCAGAGAUCCCGAGCUCCUGUGCACCAGGGUGGAUGAAAUGGAUGCUCUACUAAAGGCAAGAGAUGCUGGUCUCAAGCCGGAAAUCCUAAAGAAGCUGUAUGGGAAUAACAAGAAGAGGAAGAAGGGAAAGUAGAAGAAAAAGAAUCAUAGCAUCAACACUGCAAAUCAAAUAUGCUGAAAUAAAAUUUUAAUACAGAAACUUUGAACGAAGCUGUCCAGCUGUUGCCAUAAUGUCUAGAAUAACUUUUCAAAUAGACCAUGAGCAUACUAGUUAUGUCAGAAAUCUGAAGCGAUCUCAAACCUCUAAAUCUUAUCAUAACCUAGUUUACCUGGAUAAAUGGGAUGAACAUUGUGAAAUGAAAUAACUAGUUAAUAGUUUGUGAAAGCGGACACAUGUGGCUUCAGUCCCUCCAGGAUUUCGCACAGUUGUUCAUGCUUUAAUUGCUGAAAGCCACUUGAAUUGGCACAGAAUUCUGUUUUGAACUCCUACCAGUGAAAACACAUACAUAAUUACUGUACUUUCUACAUUAGCCGUACUCAUGUUUGACGCGUGAGAAUUAAAGACCUGCAAGUGAACUGCAAUUCUGAUUUUCACCUGAUGGUGGCAGCAGACUGCAUUCACACUAAAAUUCCAAGAGCCUUUUGCCCAAGCUGCAAAUUAAUUUACUGACUAAUACAUCUACAUACUAUAAAAAAGUGAGAAGGGGCAUCUCAGAGAGCUGGGUUUGAUGUCACCGUAUACUUACCGUGAAUGUGAAGUCACAUGACGCAUUCUUUUUAUUGAGCCAAGCAUUAUGAUUUGUCUCGUGUAAGCUGCUGUCAUCUUUUGUUUGCAGUUAUUUUGAAGGUUACUAUGCAUGUAGGUGACAGAUAGGUGACAUCAACUUCACGUCACUAUAAUACCCAUAAUGCAAAUUUCAUUGAACUAAGCCUUUUCAUAUCAUGCCUAUGCUGCAGUAGUUUUGUGAUACCACUGAUUUUAGGUCUUGCUAGACUGAUAGAGUGAUGGAUGGAGAGAGUGUUAUUAUUAGAAGGAGGGAGUAAGAGAUACAGGUAGAUUGAUAGAAAUAUGGAGUGUGUGUGUGUUACUGAUAGAGAGAUGGAUGUAGACAGUGUGUAGUGAUAGAUAGAUACAGGGAUUAGACAAUGAAGCUCUCACUCCUGGUUUAAUUAAUUAGCAGAUCAAAAUAAUUUUAGACCAAAAUAAUUUAUUAGUAUGCUGUAGUUCCUUUUUUGCAGCCAAUACAUACUUUAUUGCUUUUUAAUAACCUGUCUGCACUGUAUCCCAGUCACAUGUUUACAUCUUUCUGAACCAUUCACAGUAUUUGGG